CCCAGAAAUACCUCUCAUUAUCGGAGGAACCCACUGAGCAUGUCCAUCUUCAUCAGUGUGCUAUGGUGAGACCAGGGCAUCUGAGGAUGGUCUGAAAUGAGGAAGACUCAGGCCAACUCUGAUUCUCUAUACAGGCUGACCCCUAUGGCCUACUAAGAAUGAAUAAUUAAAACUCUAGGAAUCCCAGGGUUUGUUGGAGUUCAGGGUUGUCGCUGAGUGGUGGAAAUAUUGUUCUCAACCAAAAAAAAAAAAAAAAAUGUGGGGAUUACAUGCCAGUACCAUCCACCCCUGCAUUAGAAGUUUUCAUCGAAGAGCUUCAUUUCACAAGGUCUUUGAUGGAACAACAGAAGAGACAGGGCUCAUCUGACUGAUCCAAGGAGCAAGGACACCCAGGACUUAUCUUUAGAUCUCACCUCACCUGCCUGAGCAAGCCAGUGAGAAUGGGAUGUAAGGAGUCAGCUCUAGAGGUCUAAAGAAUCAUCUAACAGGGAAAGCUGAAUGUAUGGACAUUCUGCGGUCUUCUGCCACCCAGAAGUACAGGGCAAGAUGUCCAGAAUGUGGAUCCUAUCUCUGACCUUAUCCCAUUUUUUCAGUUAUUCUCAGCAGUCACUUUUUUGCUUCUUUCAGCGUUGAUCUCACC
rnacentral:lncRNA from 10 species